rnacentral:rRNA from 1 species
AACGAACGCUGGCGGCAGGCCUAACACAUGCAAGUCGAACGCCGUAGCAAUACGGAGUGGCAGACGGGUGAGUAACGCGUGGGAACCUACCUUACGGUCGGGAAUAGCCCAGGGAAACUUGGGGUAAUACCGGAUACGCCCUUACGGGAAAGAUUUAUCGCCCAAGGAUGAGCCCGCGUAGGAUUAGCUAGUUGGUGAGGUAAAGGCUCACCAAGGCGACGAUCCUUAGCUGGUCUGAGAGGAUGAUCAGCCACACUGGGACUGAGACACGGCCCAGACUCUACGGGAGGCAGCAGUGGGGAAUAUUGGACAAUGGCGGAAAGACCUCG